rnacentral:rRNA from 1 species
CCGGAUUUAUUGGGUUUAAAGGGUGCGCAGGCGGGAGAUUAAGUCGGCGGUGAAAUUUUGCAGAUCAACUGUAAAAGUGCCUUCGAUACUGGUUUCCUUGAGUGUGGAUGAAGUAGGCGGAAUUUGUGGUGUAGCGGUGAAAUGCUUAGAUAUCACGAGGAACUCCGAUUGCGCAGGCAGCUUACUAAACCACUACUGACGCUCAGGCCCGAAGGCGUGGGGAUCAAACAGGAUUAGAUACCCUGGUAGUCCACGCAGUAAAAGAUGAUUACUGGCUGUUUGCGAUACAAUGUAAGCGGCUGAGCGAAAGCGUUAAGUAAUCCACCUGGGGAGUACGUUCGCAAGAAUGAAACUCAAAGGAAUUGACGGGGGCCCGCACAAGCGGAGGAACA